rnacentral:piRNA from 1 species
GGAUGUUUUGGAAGACUGGGUGACUG